rnacentral:rRNA from 1 species
GAUGAACGCUAGCGGCAGGCCUAAUACAUGCAAGUCGAACGGGAUCUGAGGGUAGCUUGCUACCCGAUUUGAGAGUGGCGCACGGGUGCGUAACGCGUGAGCAACCUACCCAUAUCAGGGGGAUAGCCCGAAGAAAUUCGGAUUAACACCGCAUAAUAAUACGCUAACACAUGUUAAUGCAUUUAAAUAUUUAUAGGAUAUGGAUGGGCUCGCGUGACGUUAGCUAGUUGGUAAGGUAACGGCUUACCAAGGCGACGAGGUCUAGGGGCUUUGAGAGGAGAAGUCACCACACUGGUACUGGGACACGGACCAGACUCCUGCGGGAGGCAGCAGUAAGGAAUAUUGGUCAAUGGGCGCGAGCCUGAACCAGCCAUGCCGCGUGCAGGAUGACUGCCCUAUGGGUUGUAAACUGCUUUUGUUAGGGAAUAAACCUACUUAUGUAUAAGUAGCUGAAUGUACCUAAAGAAUAAGGAUCGGCUAACUCCGUGCCAGCCGCCGCAGUAA